rnacentral:rRNA from 1 species
UACGGGGGGGGCAAGCGUUGAUCGGAAUUACUGGGCGUAAAGGGCGCGUAGGCGGGUGGACAAGUCUCUCGUGAAAGCCCACGGCUCAACCGUGGAAUUGCGGGGGAUACUGCCUGUCUUGAGUACGGGAGAGGAGGGUGGAAUUCCCGGUGUAACGGUGAAAUGCGUAGAUAUUGGGAGGAACACCAGUGGCGAAGGCGGCUCUCUGGACCGGUACUGACGCUGAGGCGCGAAAGCUAGGGGAGCAAACGGG